UACCUAAACCUAUUCUUUAGGCAUGGUGAUAAAAAUUAAAUCCAGGUCAGUGUGUUAGGCGGUCUUCCGUCUCUCAAUCACUGACCUGGUUACUAGGGGAAACCUUAGUAGAGGAUACAGCAAUGUACC
rnacentral:sRNA from 1 species